rnacentral:misc_RNA from 1 species
GAAAUGCGAUAAGUAAUGUGAAUUGCAGAAUUCAGUGAAUCAUCGAAUCUUUGAACGCACCUUGCGCUCUCUGGUAUUCCGGGGAGCAUGCCUGUUUGAGAAUCGCAAAGCAACACAAAUCACAUUCAUUUUUUUUUGGGUGUGGAAUUGGGCCGAAUUCCUCUUUUCAGAUUUUUUUGAAGGGAGAGGAUGGCUUGAAAUCUCCCACCCCAAG